rnacentral:rRNA from 1 species
UACAGAGGUCUCAAGCGUUGUUCGGAUUCAUUGGGCGUAAAGGGUGCGUAGGCGGCGAGGUAAGUCGGAUGUGAAAUCCCGGGGCUCAACCCCGGAACUGCAUUCGAUACUGCUUUGCUUGAGUACUGGAGAGGAGACUGGAAUUUCCGGUGUAGCGGUGAAAUGCGUAGAUAUCGGAAGGAACAUCAGUGGCGAAAGCGACUUCCUGGACCAGUACCGACGUUCAGGCACGAAAGCGUGGGGAGCAAACAGG